rnacentral:rRNA from 1 species
UACGUAGGGUGCAAGCGUUGUCCGGAUUUAUUGGGCGUAAAGAGCUCGUAGGCGGUUUGUCGCGUCGGAUGUGAAAACCCAGGGCUCAACCCUAGGCCUGCAUUCGAUACGGGCAAACUAGAGUAUGGCAGGGGAGACUGGAAUUCCUGGUGUAGCGGUGAAAUGCGCAGAUAUCAGGAGGAACACCGGUGGCGAAGGCGGGUCUCUGGGCCAAAACUGACGCUGAGGAGCGAAAGCGUGGGGAGCGAACAGG